UACAGAGGGUGCGAGCGUUGCCCGGAAUCACUGGGCGUAAAGGGCGCGUAGGCGGCUGGGUAAGUAAGGGGUGAAAUCUCACGGCUCAACCGUGGGGCCGCCUCUUCGACUGCCCGGCUCGAGCAUGACAGAGGUCGGUGGAAUUCCCGGUGUAGCGGUGGAAUGCGUAGAGAUCGGGAAGAAUAUCGGUGGCGAAGGCGGCCGACUGGGUCAUUGCUGACACUGAGGCGCGACAGCGUGGGGAGCAAACAGG
rnacentral:rRNA from 1 species